GUAGGUGAACCUGCGGAAGGAUCAUUGGAGUGUGAGUGGGGGGGAGAGAAGAGAGUUGGAAUGAGGGAGAUAAAUUAUUAACUAAUUCAACAAUACACAACUGCUGACAAUGGAUCUCUGGGCUCUU
rnacentral:misc_RNA from 1 species